rnacentral:rRNA from 1 species
GAUAACCUCGGGAAACUGGGUAUAAUACCCGAUAGGUCUCGAUUGCUGGAAUGCAUCGAGAUUUAAAGCUCCGGCGCCUAAGGAUGGGUCUGCGGCCUAUCAGGUAGUAGUGGGUGUAGCGUACCUACUAGCCUACGACGGGUACGGGUUGUGAGAGCAAGAGCCCGGAGAUGGAUUCUGAGACACGAAUCCAGGCCCUACGGGGUGCAGCAGGCGCGAAAACUUUACAAUGCUGGCAACAGCGAUAAGGGAACCUCGAGUGCCAGGUUACAAAUCUGGCUGUCGAGAUGCCUAAAAAGCAUUUCAUAGCAAGGGCCGGGCAAGACCGGUGCCAGCCGCCGCGGUAACACCGGCGGCUCGAGUGGUAACCGUUAUUAUUGGGUCUAAAGGGUCUGUAGCCGGCCGGAUAAGUCUCUUGAGAAAUCUGGCAGCUUAACUGUCAGGCUUUCAGGAGAUACUGUCUGGCUCGAGGCCGGGAGAGGUGAGAGGUACUUCAGGGGUAGGGGUGAAAUCUUGUAACCCUUGAAGGACCACCAGUGGCGAAGGCGUCUCACCAGAACGGACCUGACGGCAAGGGACGAAAGCUAGGGGCACGAACCGGAUUAGAUACCCGGGUAGUCCUAGCCGUAAACGAUACUCGCUAGGUGUCGGCCACGGUGCGACCGUUGUCGGUGCCGUAGGGAAGCCGUGAAGCGAGCCACCUGGGAAGUACGGCCGCAAGGCUGAAACUUAAAGGAAUUGGCGGGGGAGCACCACAACGGGUGGAGCUUGCGGUUUAAUUGGAUUCAACGCCGGAAAUCUUACCGGGACCGACAGCAAUAUGAAGGCCAGGCUGAAGACUUUGCCGGAUUAGCUGAGAGUGUGCAU